GGAAAAAUUUUGCCUUGUGCUAUUUCUUAUCCAACACACUCGUCAUGUGCUGGUUAGGUGAAAUACUGAACUGAAAAUUCUCACACAAACAACUAAUCUCUUGUGCCCUGACGUACAUCAAGUCUAAACAUCUGAUGUUCCAUUUGACUGACUAAUAAUUUAUGAUAUAUGUUUGUCUUUUACACCCGGACUCUGGCUCCAUCCUAUCUGACUCCCCACCAGACCCAAGGCUGGUAAAGCCAAUGCAUCUUGUCUUGGAAGCUCGGUGUUCCUUCCUUUGGAUAACAAGACAUGACGAUGCAGAAGUGAGAAAGCAAACAUUCUCACUCACAGCGAGAUAAAGUGGCACAAACAAUUCCAUUGCUGCAGAGAGACAUUCCACCAGAGCCAGAGAAAGGGGUUAAAAAGCAGAAGCAACUUGAGGAUCGUGGGCUCUUUGCAUCACACCUUCGUGGUGUGUGCACUGAUCUCCCCAGCUGGUUUUUGGUUUUUUGAUGUGCACGAUCAACAUCCAUGCUUUUUAUUUGCUUUCCCCAUUAUUUUUAUUUUCUUUAUUAUUUCAAUAAAUCGCACAAAAAGGACAACUCUCUCAUCUGCUUCUUUAUGGAAAAUUUCCACCACAGAAAUUGGCGUCUACGAACAGGAUCCGCUGCAGGUCGUCUGGACGGUGUGACCAGGGACGAUAGUCCUGAGGACUAGGGCCGCUCAGCCUCCAAACCUCUACAGCUGUUCUGAGUGGGAGGACUGCUCACCCGUCUGGAUCGCCUCUGACGAGAUCCAACGAACUCAAAAUCCAACCUCUACUCGGCCCGGUGAGAGAGAUUCUGUUUUGUUGCGACUUAUCGAGGAAAAAAAAAAAUAGAAAACGGGUUUGAAAUUGGUUUCAGGUAUUCGGGGUUUACUUGGCUCUGAUCAUUUGGUUUAGGGAAAGUAAGGCAAAUAACAAUAUAUUCUAAAGCAUCCCCAACUAGACUAAAACAUAAAAGAAAACAUAAUUAGGACUAGAGAUGAUAAUAUUUCUAAAACGACUAUUUGGCUGAAAACAUCCAAAAUAUAAUAUUAGGGAAAAAAAUUAUUAUUUUAAAAUUUAAUAUUCGGGUAAAAUUAAUUAGGUCAAAGUCUGCCCUGGUGGCCGAGACGGUGGUUGCUAAGGGUUGGCUCGUGGAACGGGCUUGUUUUUGUCUGUACUGAGGAUACAGACCAGUGUGCAGAUCUGAGCGCAGUCCAAAGGGAGUGGACAAGAAAUAAAAGACGGCUUCUGUAAGACGGAGCGCGUUUGCAGGGGGAAGUGGUUUUGAGAUACGAGGGACCCGGGUCUUAGAGGGGCCUGACGGUGAGGGAGCACUUCCGAGAACUCUGUCGCUGAUCUGAGCGGUUCCCUUUCUACGGAGACGUCCGUGGAAGAGAAAUUUCGAAAAAAGGUUCCGGCCGGAACACAAAAAAGUCUAAGGCAGGAAACCGCCGGGACUCUGAAAGAUGGGUUCGGGGCGAUCUAAGUCUCCACCACCAGACUGGAACAUUGCAAAAUUAAACGUAAUUAAAGUAAAAAGUUAUUAUGGUUAUUAGUGCGUUUCAUGUUUCCAAGAGUGGGAAACUGGUUAUGGGUUCAAAAGAAGAAUCGCUUAGUGUAAAAGGACAUACGCACCUUAAAAGAAAAAUUAGAGACAAAAGAAAAGAUCUGAAAAACCAAAACUAUCAAAACUAAACUCCUGAAAGAAACAAAAGAGUGAGGAGAGUAACAGAAAAAAAAGGAGAUAACAACUCUGGGGAAGAAUUGUUUGCACUCUGCCACACACACACACAGCACAAACACACACAUCAUGUCAAGAGCAAAUGCUCCCAUUCUUUCUGCUCUCUAUUCUAAUGCAGAACUGAGUGCGAUGAGGGUAAAUCCGGAUCUGGACUCCUUUCCCACCAUCAGCAGAAGAAUGGAAGGAGAAGAAGCGCCAACCAACAACCAGAACAGGGUGGAAGCUCUGACACCACAGCAGCUGGAGGACACAGACCACAGCAUGGACGCCUCACAGACUCCCACAACGUCUGCAGCCAUCACGUUCUGGGCUCAUCAGAUGAACCAGCUACUACAAGCCCUGCACCAGCAUGAAAGGACUGUGUCUGAAGCUUCUGAAGCCGUGAAAGUGUCAUACACGCGUGUGUGUCUGACACAGACACCUGCUUAUGACAAUCAGCAAAGGAAAACAAGGACAGAGCAACAGCAGAGAAGACGUGCUCUGACACAGACACUGGUUCAAACAACAGGAGAGGCUUCAGACGUGAUCGGCCCAAUAGAGCUGCAUGCGAGAAUCCAGGAAACGUCUGUCAUCGAGGAACAACUGUCCCAUUGAAAGGCUUCACCCACUGGCGCUCACAUCAGACUGAUGGUUGGGGAAGGAGGAAGGUGACGGUUCCUUUUCACGUGACGUACAAGACGUUCCACACGUCCCUCUGUGAAAACAUGAUGGAGACAGAUGACAGGACGUGGGUCCUUUCGUGAACAGAUGUGAACGGGGUGGAGACUGGUGAACGACUUCUGACCCCAUGUGAUGUAUUCACCUACUUUGCAUACUUUAGAAAACUUUUUUUUAUUCUGCCUGUCAUGUGCAGCAAACAGUGAACUGGGUACCUCCACAUUCUAAUGACACACAUUACACGCUUUUGUUUUUAUUUUUAUUUUUGAGGACGCUCUGACCCAACACUCAGCCUCACAGGAAGCUCCUGCUUCCCUGUGGCUCACACACAGACAUGAUGUAGGUUUGAUCAGAGGAUGUGAACCAGUGGUCAUCACACCUAAAUCUGACCACAGACCAUGUAAACAACAACACCCUCUUAAAGGAGCCAUAGAUGGCGUUACUGCAGACACCACUAAGAUACUGAAACAUUGGAUGCUGCAGGCCACAAAGAGAGCCUGUCUAAAUUACACUUUGUUCAGACUAAGGUUAUUUUCUGGGUCAUUGUAAUUACAGCUGAUGGCAAAUCCAUCUCACCCACCAGAGUUGAAGCAUUUUUAAACCUGCCUAAACCGUGCACGUAUAAACAGCUUAUGUCUUUUCUAGGUCUUUGUUCUUAUUGUAGGACUUUCGUUCCUAACUUUACCUUCUCUGAGGCCCCACUCAGGGUUCUGAUGCAGACGUCUUCAUCGUCCACUUCUUGUCUCACGUGGACGUCUGAGGCUGAACAACGUUCACUGACCUCAUGCUUGCUCUUCAGUCGACUCCUACUUUGGGUCUUCCUGAUCUGACCCUACGCGACCUUUCACUCAAACAGUGGAUGAGAAAUCAGGUUGUACGACUUCUGUUCUUUUGUCCUCAUACUGUUUUUGAUUCUUUUGGAAUAGAUCACAUCUUUCUACAGCCAGAUGGCUUAGAUACAACACCAUCUUGCUCAACAUGCUGAACAUUACUAUCAAGAGUCCGUCUUGAAGUCUGGCUCUUUGCUAAGACACUACUCUGCUCAGGCUGCAGAGUUGAUCGUAUUGACUGAAGCUGGUAAACUAGCAGAAGGAGAGUCUGUUACCAUCUACACAGACUCCACAGACGCUUGUCAUACGUUGGUUCUCUGUGGAAGCAUAGGAAGCUUUUGAAGUCUGAUUGCAAGCCUAUCUCACAUCAUGAUUAGGUUCUGCUUUGCUGGACGCUGUCCUGCUGCCUACAGCUAAUGCUGUUUUUAACCGUCCCACUCACACCCUCAGUGACGACUUUGUUUGUGCCGACAUGCAGCUGCAGACGCUGCUGCGAAGGUCGCUGCCCAACAACCCCUCCCUCUCCUGAUCCUUGUUCCCUCUCCUCGUUUCCUCUCUAUCCUUCCUCCUCUCUCUCCCUGUGCUUUAAACAUUUUCUACCUCACAGGAACGCAGACUCUGGCUGACGAAUGGUUCCACCUGUAGCCAUGGAGUCUGGUUUGGGCCUGAUGGCAGCCGUGCCGCCCAAACAGCUUUUCCCCAUAAUUCAGAUUUCCCAACAGGUGAAAACAGGCGACAGGACCAUUAUACACCAUCCAACCAGGGCACUGGGCGAUCGUUAAAGAGUUCAGGAGGAAGCAUUGAGACUCCAAACAGUGGCGGAGCCCCUUCCAGGUCCUUCUGACGACCCACAUGGCUGUAAAGAUUGCAGAAAGAGCGACUUGGAUCCACUCCAUCCAGGAAGGUCCCGGAUCCGACAGACGACCCUCCAUCUACAUCUACACCACUCGGAGAAUUCACCACUAAAGAAAAGAAUUGAGAAGAACGACCCUCGCUGUGCUCACACACACACUGAGGCGAGGCUGCGUUGACCGUUCAGCUAAAGCUGCGCCGGUGAAUCACACUGUCAGACCAUACAUCUACACACACGCUCUUGAGAAAACACACACAAUAGCAGCCUUGAGUUGCCGACGCUGGACAACGUGUAGACUCUUCACAUCACGGAGUGACAGUGACUCAGACGACAUUGGGAGGAAACCUGGUGGUGAUAACGAAUCCCAAGUGUCUCUGAUCAGCUGAUCACAACCUGAAGAACUCCAACGAACUGUCAAUACAUCAACACACAGGUUGGAAACAAUCUAACGCUACUGUUCAACAGGAAGAAGCAGAUUGUUACGAGACAUCAAUUGUAACCUUGUUUUGUUAAACUUCAUUUUAUGUUACAUGAAUUAUUGCCUUGAUCAUAUGAUGUUUCCAUGUAACUUCGCACACUACUUUUGAAGAAGAAAAUUAUUAUAUCCUGAAGUUGACUUGGUGUUUAAUUUGCUCACAAACAUUUUAUUCACUGCUACAAAAUUUUUUUUAUCCUUCAUCUACAGAUGAAAGACAACACAAGCAGAAAUAUGCAUCAUCAUUCUCUCUAAUCCCUGAUUCUCUUAUUCAUUCUAGACCCAAAUCUACAAUUAAAGAUCCGAAAGCAUGAAAUCUAUUUUAAGAUUAUAUGAAACAGAACCCCAUCGGAAACCUAUGGCUAUCAUACAUUAAUUGUCUUUAUUACAUUACAAUUGAAUGGCCGUAGACACGUUGUUAGCAGAGAAAAGAGGCGCUUGUGUUAUGUUUGGAGACGCAUGUUGUACUUACAUCCUGAAUAACACUGAUUCUAAUGGUAUUGUAGCGAAGGCGCUCCACGGCCUUCAGAAUCUCAGCUAACUCUGGUAUAGGUUCUUUCCCUUGGAAUUGGCUAGAUGAAAUGUCGGGAAAAUGGAAAUCUGUUCUCAUGUCUGCAGCUGUUUCCUUCAUCCUUGUGAUGGCUGUGAUUCUCUUGUUUGGUUUUUGCGUUAUCCCACUGGUUAGAGGUCUCAUCAUGCACGCGACCUCAGCAACACUCUCGUAUCAAAUGACACAAUGCACUAUGUUCAAAAACCCCAACUCUAAUUCACUUAAUGACUUUGACGAUGGUCUUAGGCUAUCUGACCACAAAAUAUAAUCUGAUGCGAACAUGAUUAUGGUCUUAUUUUCUUCACAUGCCAAUACAGAGGUUAUUCUUGUAUAACUAGCCACCAAAAACAGGUCCCAACCUUUUAUCCCUAAGUUACUUGCAUUUUAUGUGAAGGUGUAUUUUUGAAUUUUGACUUAAUACACUUACUGUUUCAUUUGUAAGGAUUGUUACUACAAAAUGCAACGUUUGAAAAUUUUUAUUAUUUUAGUGUUUGAUUAAUGUGUAAUCAAAAGGGGGGAAUGUAAUGGAAAAAUUUUGCCUUGUGCUAUUUCUUAUCCAACACACUCGUCGUGUGCUGGUUAGGUGCAAUACUGAACAUUCUUACACAAACAACUAAUCUCUUGUGCCCUGUCGUACAUCAAGUCUAAACAUCUGAUGUUCCAUUUGACUGACUAAUAAUUUAUGAUAUAUGUUUGUCUUUUACACCCGGACUCUGGCUCCUUCCUAUCUGACUCCCCACCAGACCCAAGGCUGUUAAAGCCAAUGCAUCUUGUCUUGGAAGCUCGGUGUUCCUUCCUUUGGAUAACAAGACAUGACGAUGCAGAAGUGAGAAAGCCAACAUUCUCACUCACGGUGAGAUAAAGUGGCACAAACAAUUCCAUUGCUGCAGAGAGACAUUCCACCAGAGCCAGAGAAAGGGGUUAAAAGGCAGAGACAACUUGAGGAUCGUGGGCUCUUUGCAUCACACCUUCGUGGUGUGUGCACUGAUCUCCCCAGCUGGUUUAUGGUUUGUUGAUGUGCACGAUCAACAUCCAUGCUUUUUAUUUGCUUUCCCCAUUAUUUUUAUUUUCUUUAUUAUUUCAAUAAAUCGCACAAAAAGGACAA